rnacentral:misc_RNA from 1 species
AGAGAGAGAGAGAGAGAGAUCUUAAAGAUCCAGUACAAGAGAAAUAAAUAACACAGCAAAAUGCAAUCUCAUGAAUGGAACACAGCAAUUACAAAGCAAAUUGAUCUAAUUAAUCAUCUUCUCCUCAAGUUUCUUCCCUUACGUGGUAGAGUACUUUAUACAUGAAACCAUCGUAACAAGAAGUGAUGAAGAUAGAUGGAUAAGAAAAUUUUCAACACCAUAAAGUAGAGAUCUGAGACAUCAAAAGUAUAAAAAGGCAAUUCAAUCUAUAUAUUGAAAAAUGGGAAGAACAUGCACUAUCACAAUGAUCAUUAAAAUAUAUAAUUAUAAGCACAAGAACUCAAAAAAUAUCAUGUAAUACAUACAGAAUAUUAAGAAUCUUCAGAUGCUGUAUCUGUAUGAACCUAUGAGUGAAUAAACGGUAGAAGAUGAUGAUGAUGAUAAUACUUGAUUUUUCUGUCUUGAAUCUCUACAUAUCUCAAGAAGUUACGAGAUAUAACCAAAAAAGGGAAGCUAGCACAAGAAAGAAACUAAAAUUAAGUACACAAGUAAAGCUACAAUUGCCUGGCUCCAUCCUGUCUGCCUUUUUCUAUCCUAUGAAGGAAUUUUGUUGUUGUUGUUGUUGAGUUGAGAAUUGAGAGUUGAGAAAGAAAGGGAGAAAAGGAGAGUUACAUUAUAGAAGUGCUCUUCCACAUACCCCUUAAUGCAAUUUGCACUAAAAUGACCUCUGAUUCCCAAGGGGAUGUUUGUAGGCAAACCCACACUGGAAAGGGCAGAAUUGACAUAUCAUCUAGCCUGGAAGAAAAUGGCUCAAAUGGGUGAUUGAAAGAGAUGAGAAGUGCUUGUCCUCUUGAGCCAUUUCUGAUAUAUUGUAGUUUAAGGGCAGCCCCACAAGUAAUUGUUUGAGACUUUCCCUCCAUUUUCUGUCACAGAAGGAAUGGAAAGAGAGGACAGAGAGAAGGGGAGGGAGAGAAGUAGGGUUAUAAAGAACGG